UCCCUUCCUUCCUUUCUCCCUUCCUUUCUUUCUUUCUCUCUUUCCAGAGCACUGCCUUAUGGUGAUGUAGGGGAUUGAACCUGGGACUUAAGAGCCUUAGGCAUACGAGUCUGUUUGUAUAACCAUUAUGCUGUCUCCCCCCACCCCCAGGGCCAGAGCUUUCAUUCUCUCUUUUCUGUUUGCAGUCGACGGUUUAAUUCUAUAUUGCUGUUUAUAGAUAGACCGUUAAAGACACCAAAACGGUGUUGGCCCUGUCUGGCAGUGAAGGGCAAUUUUUAAAGGUGUGUUCUGUGAGAGGCAGGUGCAGUCCGCACGGCUUAGGUUUAGAGGAGGUAGUGACAGAGUCCCGGCAGGUGUAUUCCAGCUUCUGCAGUGAUUCGUGUCCAGCCCAAGUUAACCAUGCUUCAUCUGUCUCUAUACACGGUGAUAGCAUUAUGUUUAGAAUUAACCAGCUGGGUGGUCUGGGAGGUGGCACAGUGGAUGAAGCACUGGACUCUCAAGCAUGAGGUCCUGAGUUCGAUCCCCGGCAGCACAUGUACCAGAGUGAUAUCUGGUUCUUUCUCUCCUCCCAUCUUUCUCAUUAAUAAAUAAAUAAAUUAUUAAAAAAAAAAAAAAAAGAACCAGCUGGACUGACUCAGUUUCCAAGUUAACCAUGCUUCAUCUCUAUACAUGGUGAUAGCAUUAUGUUUAGAAUUAACCAGCUGGACUGACUCAAGUUUCCAAGCUCCUGGUUUUAUCAGCAGCAUCCAAGGCAUCACAACCGGCAGCCAGUCAGACUUGCGUCUUCCCCAGGGUGGUUAGCCUCGGCUGCCUCAGCGUCACAGAACUUCACGUCCCGUCCUCCCUGGGGCCUGUGGGCACUGGGCCUCCAGAGUGAGCACGGGUGUGCUGCUUUCGCCUGUCUUCGUGGCUGACUCAGUACUGGGGGACUUACUGACAGUGAUGAAGGGUCUUCCCAGGAUAUCUAGGCUGCCUUUGGCUUUGGGAAGGGCAGGAGAAAGGGUCAGGCACACUUUGCUAAGAUCCCAAACUCACUUCCUACCCUUGAGCGAGCAAAAUGCCUCCCUCCCCCCUCCCUCUCUCCCUCCCCCCCUCCCUUCCCAUUGUAAUAGAACACACAUAUAACCAUGUCAUUCUGAGGGCGUGAGUACUAACAUCUUUCCUUUUUUUUUUCCCCACACAGGUCUCUUUUUUUCUGUAGCUAUUCUAUCAUAGAUGAAUGUCAGAAACAUUAAAUUGUAAGUUCUGAGA